rnacentral:rRNA from 1 species
GAUGAACGCUGGCGGCGUGCUUAACACAUGCAAGUCGAACGAAGCAGAUUGAGAUCUUCGGAUGGAUAUCUGACUGAGUGGCGGACGGGUGAGUAACGCGUGGGUAACCUGCCUCAUACAGGGGGGAUAACAAUUGGAAACGACUGCUAAUACCGCAUAAUGUUAUUUGGGGGCAUCCCCGAGUAACCAAAGAUUUAUUUGCUGAAAGAUGGUCUCGCGUCUGAUUAGCUAGUUGGUGAGGUAACGGCUCACCAAGGCGACGAUCAGUAGCCGGUCUGAGAGGAUGAACGGCCACAUUGGGGACUGAGAUACGGCCCAGACUCCUACGGGAGGGCAGCAGUUGGGGGAAUAUUGGGCGAAUGGGGGGAAACCCGUGACCCAGCAACGCCGCGUGAAGGAAGAAGG